UAACUUAGUGGCGGACGGGUGAGUAACGCGUGAGAAUCUGCCUUCAGGACGGAGACAACAGUUGGAAACGACUGCUAAGCCCCGAUGAACCGAAAGGGAAAAUAUUUAUAGCCUGAAGAUGAGCUCGCGUCCGAUUAGCUAGUUGGGGGGGUAAAGGCCCACCAAGGCGACGAUCGGUAGCUGGUCUGAGAGGACGAUCAGCCACACUGGAACUGAGACACGGUCCAG
rnacentral:rRNA from 1 species